rnacentral:rRNA from 1 species
AUUGAACGCUGGCGGCAGGCCUAACACAUGCAAGUCGAGCGGAAGAAGGGAGCUUGCUCGUGGAUUCAGCGGCGGACGGGUGAGUGAUGCCUAGGAAUCUGCCUGGCAGUGGGGGAUAACGUCCGGACAUGGGCGCUAAUACCGCAUACGUGCUGAGGGCCAAAGUGGGGGAUCUUCGGACCUCACGCUAUUAGAUGAGUCUAGGUCGGAUUAGCUAGUUGGUGGGGUAAAGGCCUACCAAGGCGACGAUCCGUAACUGGUCUGAGAGGAUGAUCAGUCACACUGGAACUGAGACACGGUCCAGACUCCUACGGGAGGCAGCAGUGGGGAAUAUUGGACAAUGGGCGAAAGCCUGAUCCAGCCAUGCCGCGUGUGUGAAGAAGGUCUUCGGAUUGUAAAGCCCUUUUAGUUGGGAGGAAGAGCAGUAAGUUAAUACCUUGCUGUUUUGACGGUACCAACAGAAUAAGCACCGGCUAACUUCGUG